rnacentral:rRNA from 1 species
GGCGCACGGGUGCGUAACGCGUGGGAAUCUGCCCCUGGGUUCGGAAUAACAGCGAGAAAUUGCUGCUAAUACCGGAUGAUGACGAAAGUCCAAAGAUUUAUCGCCCAGGGAUGAGCCCGCGUAGGAUUAGCUAGUUGGUGAGGUAAGAGCUCACCAAGGCGACGAUCCUUAGCUGGUCUGAGAGGAUGAUCAGCCACACUGGGACUGAGACACGGCCCAGACUCCUACGGGAGGCAGCAGUU